rnacentral:rRNA from 1 species
UACGGAGGGUGCAAGCGUUGUCCGGAAUCACUGGGCGUAAAGGGCGCGUAGGCGGCUCGGUAAGUAGGGGGUGAAAUCCUGCGGCUUAACCGCAGGGCUGCCUUCUAAACUGUCGAGCUCGAGCACGGUAGAGGCAGAUGGAAUUCCCGGUGUAGCGGUGGAAUGCGUAGAGAUCGGGGAGAACAUCAGUGGCGAAGGCGGUCUGCUGGGCCGUUGCUGACGCUGAGGCGCGAAAGCGUGGGGAGCGAACAGG